UGUUACGGGCCGAGUGGUUCAAGGCGUAGCAUUGGAACUGCUAUGUAGGCUUUUGUUUACCGAGGGUUCGAAUCCCUCUCUUGACAU
rnacentral:tRNA from 1 species